AGAUUGAACGCUGGCGGCAUGCUUUACACAUGCAAGUCGAACGGUAACAGGCCGCAAGGUGCUGACGAGUGGCGAACGGGUGAGUAAUGUAUCGGAACGUGCCCAGUCGUGGGGGAUAACGCAGCGAAAGCUGCGCUAAUACCGCAUACGAUCUAUGGAUGAAAGCGGGGGACCGUAAGGCCUCGCGCGAUUGGAGCGGCCGAUAUCAGAUUAGGUAGUUGGUGGGGUAAAGGCUCACCAAGCCAACGAUCUGUAGCUGGUCUGAGAGGACGACCAGCCACACUGGGACUGAGACACGGCCCAGACUCCUACGGGAGGCAGCAGUGGGGAAUUUUGGACAAUGGGCGCAAGCCUGAUCCAGCAAUGCCGCGUGCAGGAAGAAGGCCUUCGGUUGUAAACCUCUUUCAGCAGGACGAAGCGCAAGUGACGGUACCUGCAGAAGAAGCACCGGCUAACUACGUGCCAGCAGCCG
rnacentral:rRNA from 1 species